CGUGGGCAACCUGCCUGUAAGACUGGGAUAACUUCGGGAAACCGGAGCUAAUACCGGAUAAUCCUUUUCUACUCAUGUAGAAAAGCUGAAAGACGGUUUACGCUGUCACUUACAGAUGGGCCCGCGGCGCAUUAGCUAGUUGGUGAGGUAACGGCUCACCAAGGCGACGAUGCGUAGCCGACCUGAGAGGGUGAUCGGCCACACUGGGACUGAGACACGGCCCAGACUCCUACGGGAGGCAGCAGUAGGGAAUCUUCCGCAAUGGACGAAAGUCUGACGGAGCAACGCCGCGUGAGUGAUGAAGGUUUUCGGAUCGUAAAACUCUGUUGUUAGGGAAGAACAAGUACGAGAGUAACUGCUCGUACCUUGACGGUACCUAACCAGAAAGCCACGGCUAACUACGUGCCAGCAGCCGCGGUAAUACGUAGGUGGCAAGCGUUGUCCGGAAUUAUUGGGCGUAAAGCGCGCGCAGGCGGUCCUUUAAGUCUGAUGUGAAAGCCCACGGCUCAA
rnacentral:rRNA from 1 species